AUUGAACGCUGGCGGCAUGCUUUACACAUGCAAGUCGAACGGUAACAGGCCUUCGGGUGCUGACGAGUGGCGAACGGGUGAGUAAUGCAUCGGAACGUACCCAGAGGUGGGGGAUAACGCAGCGAAAGCUGUGCUAAUACCGCAUGUGAUCUGAGGAUGAAAGCGGGGGACCGAGCAGCAAUGUUUGGCCUCGCGCCUUUGGAGCGGCCGAUGUCGGAUUAGCUAGUUGGUGGGGUAAAGGCCUACCAAGGCGACGAUCCGUAGCUGGUCUGAGAGGACGACCAGCCACACUGGGACUGAGACACGGCCCAGACUCCUACGGGAGGCAGCAGUGGGGAAUUUUGGACAAUGGGCGCAAGCCUGAUCCAGCAAUGCCGCGUGCGGGAAGAAGGCCUUCGGGUUGUAAACCGCUUUUGGCAGGAGCGAAACGGUGUCCGCUAAUACCGGGCGCUAAUGACGGUACCUGCAGAAUAAGCACCGGCUAACUACGUG
rnacentral:rRNA from 1 species